UACGGAGGGGGCGAGCGUUAUUCGGAAUUAUUGGGCGUAAAGGGCGCGUAGGCGGCUGUAUAAGUCAAAGGUGAAAUCCCUCGGCUCAACUGAGGAACUGCCUUUGAAACUGUACGGCUUGAGGCCGGGAGGGGGUAGCGGAAUUCCCAGUGUAGCGGUGAAAUGCGUAGAUACUGGGAGGAACACCAGUGGCGAAGGCGGCUACCUGGACCGGUUCUGACGCUGAGGCGCGAAAGCGUGGGUAGCAAACAGG
rnacentral:rRNA from 1 species